rnacentral:lncRNA from 1 species
CAUGGCCAGGGCUGCACACUCCAAAGAGCCAGCAGGAGCCGGGAAAAGGCAGAAGCCCUGGCAGGGCAGGAACCUUGUGCUCCCUGGGAGCAGCUGCGGCCAUCCAGCUGUGGCUGUGGACCUGGGCAUCCCUGUGCUCUUGGGAGCUGGGAUUGGGCAGGAGCCCUGCCCUUCUGGAGUGUAGCUGCAGCUGCCCAAGCCAUGGCUACGGACCUGGGCGUCCCCUCUUGGGGGCCUGGGAAAGGCCCCCUCCCACCUGCAGGCUUGGAAGUGCCUGCUCCCACUACCUGGCCUCUCCCUGCUCCCUGCACCUACUCUGAUCUUGGAGCAAAGUUGAGGUCGAGCCCAGGAGCUGUUGCAACCUGGUUGGGUGUGUGCACAAUUGGGGCAGCACUGACGCUCCAGCCCCCUGCUGCCUUGGCUGCCUCUGGACUUUGGGCACUGGACAAUAACUCAGGACUCACUGAAUGGUGGGGCUGAAAGAGCUGUAACACAAACAAGGCUGAAACACACCCCUUGCUCACCACACUGUGGGUGACAAGGAGAGAAGAGAGAAGGAGAGAAGAGUUGCGGCCCUUCAGGGAGCCCAGACCUAGGAUCUCCCCCAGCCAGGGCUGUGACACCCUCUUUGGGGCUCUGCGGUUCCUGGUGUCUUCAAGCUUCUGAGCACCACU